GAACGCUGGCGGCGUGCUUAACACAUGCAAGUCGAACGCGAAAGGGACUUCGGUCCUGAGUAAAGUGGCGCACGGGUGAGUAACGCGUAGAUAACCUGUCUUCAUGUCUGGAAUAAUACGCCGAAAGGGGUACUAAUACCGGAUAUUCUUGCUUUUCAUAAGUUAUGCAAGCAAAGGUGGCCUCUGCAUAUGCUACUGCAUGAAGAGGGGUCUGCGUACCAUUAGCUAGUAGGUGGGGUAAUGGCCUACCUAGGCGACGAUGGUUAGCGGGUCUGAGAGGAUGAUCCGCCACACUGGCACUGGAACACGGGCCAGACUCCUACGGGAGGCAGCAGUGAGGAAUAUUGCGCAAUGGGGGAAACCCUGACGCAGCGACGCCGCGUGAGUGAAGGAAGGCCUUCGGGUCGUAAAGCUCUGUCAAGAGGAAAGAAGUGUACAAUGGCUAAUACCUGUUGUAUUUGACGGUACCUCUAAAGGAAGCACCGGCUAACUCCGUGCCAGCAGCAGC
rnacentral:rRNA from 1 species